rnacentral:tRNA from 1 species
UCCUGGUUAGCUCAGUUGAAAGUGCGCUCCGUUAGCCUUGGAGGGGUCCCGGGAUCGAAUCCCGGACCGGGCG